rnacentral:SRP_RNA from 2 species
GAUCAGGUCCUGCUCACCGCAGUUCCUGAAGCGUGUCAGGUCCGGAAGGAAGCAGCACUAAGGGAGCCGCUGCGGGUGAGCAGGAGCGCCUGGUCGAA